rnacentral:rRNA from 1 species
AUUAAGCCAUGCAUGUUUCCGCAAUCAGGGACGAAUAGCUCAGUAAAACUGCGAUGAUUUAGUCUGGCUGUGUAGAUAACUACGUGAAAAUGUAGCUAAGGGAAGGCAGAAUAAGACGCAGGACUAUCAGUUAGUUGGUAGUGUAAUGGACUACCAAGACAGUGACGGUUGACGGGAAAUUAGGGUUUUGUACCGGAGAGGGAGCCUGAGAGAUUGCUCCCACGUCCAAGGACGGCAGCAGGCGCGAAAAUUGCCCACUCUUUGCAGGAGGCAGUUAUGAGACGUGAAGAUGAGUAUCUUGUAAAGAGGGAUAGGAGAAUUGGAGGGCAAGUUUGGUGCCAGCAGCCGCGGUAAUACCGACUCCAAGAGUGUGUAUGAGAGAUGCUGCAGUUAAAAAGUCCGUAGUCAUAGAAGGGCAAAGAGAGAUGCGAGGUCUCACAGUGCGAUGAUGGAGGAGCCGAUGGGGAACAUAGUAUACCAGGGCGAGAGAUGAAAUGCCAAGACCCCUGGUGGACUGAGCGAGGCGAAGGCGAUG